GGUGACGGUGGCAGUGACCGUCGCAUCCGUGCAGGGGAUCACCCAAUCACUCAACAACUAUGUGCCAUUCAAGACGAAGCUGUGAAUGAAAUCCACCUUUUAAGUCAAUAAAAUCCACCUUUUAAGUCAAUAAAAUCCACCCUUUGUUGAAAAAAAACGAAGUUGUUAGCUAUGCAAAGACCGGGUGUGUGCUUAUUGUGUUUGUAUCUACUUGAUACUUCAUUUUGAGUCAAUAAAAUUCAAAAAACUUUUGUAUACGGCGCGCCGGCCGAAGAUUCGGCCGGUCAAGCGCGACUCGUGCGAUUUAUU
rnacentral:lncRNA from 1 species